rnacentral:ncRNA from 1 species
AAAUUAAAGCGCCCGAACCGUACAUAUGGCAUAGCGGUUGACGAGGAUGGGGUUUAUCGAAAUUUCGGCGGAUGCCCCACGGCAGACAUGUCGUAAACGUGUACUUAAAACCCGAGAGUAAUUUCGGCACAGAGGUAU